rnacentral:rRNA from 1 species
AAAACCAAUGCGGGCAACCGCUUUUCUGGUGAUUCAUAAUAACUUUUCGAAUCGCAUGGCCUUGUGCUAGCGAUGUUUCAUUCAAAUUUCUGCCCUAUCAACUUUUGAUGGUAGGAUAGAGGCCUACCAUGGUUUUAACGGGUAACGGGGAAUUAGGGUUCGAUUCCGGAGAGGGAGCCUGAGAAACGGCUACCACAUCCAAGGAAGGCAGCAGGCGCGCAAAUUACCCAAUCCCGAUACGGGGAGGUAGUGACAAUAAAUAACAAUACAGGGCUUUAUAGUCUUGUAAUUGGAAUGAGUACAAUUUAAAUCCCUUAACGAGGAACAAUUGGAGGGCAAGUCUGGUGCCAGCAGCCGCGGUAAUUCCAGCUCCAAUAGCGUAUAUUAAGUUGUUGCAGUUAAAAAGCUCGUAGUUGAACUUCGAACCUGGCUGGGUGGUCUGCCUUACGGUACGUACUGCCCGGCCGGGUUCUACCUCUUGGUGAGCCGCAUGCCCUUCACUGGGUGUGUCGGGGAACCAGGACUUUUAC